rnacentral:rRNA from 1 species
UGCCUAAUACAUGCAAGUCGAACGCUUUUUCUUUCACCGGAGCUUGCUCCAUCGAAAGAAAAAGAGUGGCGAACGGGUGAGUAACACGUGGGUAACCUGCCCAUCAGAAGGGGAUAACACUUGGAAACAGGUGCUAAUACCGUAUAACACUAUUUUCCGCAUGGAAGAAAGUUGAAAGGCGCUUUUGCGUCACUGAUGGAUGGACCCGCGGUGCAUUAGCUAGUUGGUGAGGUAACGGCUCACCAAGGCAACGAUGCAUAGCCGACCUGAGAGGGUGAUCGGCCACACUGGGACUGAGACACGGCCCAGACUCCUACGGGAGGCAGCAGUAGGGAAUCUUCGGCAAUGGACGAAAGUCUGACCGAGCAACGCCGCGUGAGUGAAGAAGGUUUUCGGAUCGUAAAACUCUGUUGUUAGAGAAGAACAAGGAUGAGAGUAAAAUGUUCAUCCCUUGACGGUAUCUAACCAGAAAGCCACGGCUAACUACGUGCCAGCAGCCGCGGUAAUACGUAGGUGGCAAGCGUUGUCCGGAUUUAUUGGGCGUAAAGCGAGCGCAGGCGGUUUCUUAAGUCUGAUGUGAAAGCCCCCGGCUCAACCGGGGAGGGUCAUUGGAAACUGGGAGACUUGAGUGCAGAAGAGGAGAGUGGAAUUCCAUGUGUAGCGGUGAAAUGCGUAGAUAUAUGGAGGAACACCAGUGGCGAAGGCGGCUCUCUGGUCUGUAACUGACGCUGAGGCUCGAAAGCGUGGGGAGCGAACAGGAUUAGAUACCCUGGUAGUCCACGCCGUAAACGAUGAGUGCUAAGUGUUGGAGGGUUUCCGCCCUUCAGUGCUGCAGCAAACGCAUUAAGCACUCCGCCUGGGGAGUACGACCGCAAGGUUGAAACUCAAAGGAAUUGACGGGGGCCCGCACAAGCGGUGGAGCAUGUGGUUUAAUUCGAAGCAACGCGAAGAACCUUACCAGGUCUUGACAUCCUUUGACCACUCUAGAGAUAGAGCUUCCCCUUCGGGGGCAAAGUGACAGGUGGUGCAUGGUUGUCGUCAGCUCGUGUCGUGAGAUGUUGGGUUAAGUCCCGCAACGAGCGCAACCCUUAUUGUUAGUUGCCAUCAUUUAGUUGGGCACUCUAGCGAGACUGCCGGUGACAAACCGGAGGAAGGUGGGGAUGACGUCAA